GAUGAAGAACGUAGCGAAAUGCGAUAAGUAAUGUGAAUUGCAGAAUUCAGUGAAUCAUCGAAUCUUUGAACGCACAUUGCGCCCGCCAGUAUUCUGGCGGGCAUGCCUGUUCGAGCGUCAUUACAACCCUCAGGCCCCCGGGCCUGGCGUUGGGGAUCGGCGGAAGCCCCCUGCGGGCACAACGCCGUCCCCCAAUUACAGUGGCGGUCCCGCCGCAGCUUCCAUUGCGUAGUAGCUAACACCUCGCAACUGGAGAGCGGCGCGGCCACGCCGUAAAACACCCAACUUCUGAAUGUUGACCUCGAAUCAGGUAGGAAUACCCGCUGAACUUAAGCAUAUCAAUAAGCGGAGGA
rnacentral:misc_RNA from 1 species